GCAGACCUGGAAGAGGUCACCAGAGGUUAUCUAGUGCAACCCUCAGCUUGAGGCAGGAUCAUCCUUAUUCAAAUCACCCUAUACAAAUC